GAACACUAGUUCCCAUAUGAUCACCAAAGUUAAGCAACAUCGAGCAUAGUCAGUACAUAGAUGGGUAACUACUUGUGAAUACCAGGUGCUGUAAG